GAUGAACGCUGGCGGUAUGCCUAACACAUGCAAGUCGUACGAGAGUUUUUAACUCUAGUGGCGGACGGGUGAGUAACACGUGAGAAUUUGCCUUUAGGAGGGGGAUAACAAUUGGAAACGAAUGCUAAUACCCCAUAUGCUUUUGAGUGAAAUGGAUUUUAUCCGCCUAGAGAGAAGCUCGCGGCUGAUUAGCUUGUUGGUAAGGUAAGAGCUUACCAAGGCGACGAUCAGUAUCUGGUUUGAGAGGACGAUCAGACACACUGGAACUGAGACACGGUCCAGACUCCUACGGGAGGCAGCAGUGGGGAAUUUGACAA
rnacentral:rRNA from 1 species